rnacentral:rRNA from 1 species
UACAGAGGGUGCGAGCGUUGUCCGGAAUCACUGGGCGUAAAGGGCGCGUAGGCGGCCUGAUAAGUAGGGGGUGAAAUCCUGUGGCCUAACUGCAGGGCUGCCUCCUAGACUGUUAGGCUCGAGCACGGUAGAGGCAGAUGGAAUUCCCGGUGUAGCGGUGGAAUGCGUAGAGAUCGGGAAGAACAUCGGUGGCGAAGGCGGUCUGCUGGGCCGUUGCUGACGCUGAGGCGCGACAGCGUGGGGAGCAAACAGG